CCUACGGGAGGCUGCAGUGGGGAAUUUUGGACAAUGGGGGAAACCCUGAUCCAGCAAUGCCGCGUGCAGGAUGAAGGCCUUCGGGUUGUAAACUGCUUUUGUACGGAACGAAAAGCUCUGGGUUAAUACCCUGGAGUCAUGACGGUACCGUAAGAAUAAGCACCGGCUAACUACGUGCCAGCAGCCGCGGUAAUACGUAGGGUGCGAGCGUUAAUCGGAAUUACUGGGCGUAAAGCGUGCGCAGGCGGUUUUGUAAGACAGUGGUGAAAUCCCCGGGCUCAACCUGGGAACUGCCAUUGUGACUGCAAGGCUGGAGUGCGGCAGAGGGGGAUGGAAUUCCGCGUGUAGCAGUGAAAUGCGUAGAUAUGCGGAGGAACACCGAUGGCGAAGGCAAUCCCCUGGGCCUGCACUGACGCUCAUGCACGAAAGCGUGGGGAGCAAACAGGAUUAGAUACCCCAGUAGUC
rnacentral:rRNA from 1 species